rnacentral:tRNA from 1 species
GCUUCCAUAGCUCAGUUGGAUAGAGCACUGGUUUCCUAAACCAGGGGUCGCAGGUUCGAGCCCUGCUGGGAGCGCCA